rnacentral:tRNA from 1 species
GCCUGAGUGGCUCAGUCGGCGAAGCGUCUGACUUCAGCUCAGGUCGUGAUCUCGCAGUUUGUGAGUUCGAGCCCCGCGUCGGGCU